GUGGGUAACCUGCCUUAUAGUGGGGGAUAGCCUUUCGAAAGGAAGAUUAAUACCGCAUAAGAUUGUAGUAUCGCAUGAUAUAGCAAUUAAAGGAGCAAUUCGCUAUAAGAUGGACCCGCGUCGCAUUAGCUAGUUGGUGAGGUAAUGGCUCACCAAGGCGACGAUGCGUAGCCGACCUGUGAGGGUGAUCGGCCACAUUGGGACUGAGACACGGCCCAGACUCCUACGGGAGGCAGCAUG
rnacentral:rRNA from 1 species